CAAGUCGAACGAGAAAGUGGAGCAAUCCAUGAGUAAAGUGGCGCACGGGUGAGUAACACGUGACUAACCUACCCUUGAGUGGGGGAUAACCUCGGGAAACCGGGGCUAAUACCGCAUAAUACCUACGGGUCAAAGGAGCAAUUCGCUUAAGGAGGGGGUCGCGGCAGAUUAGUUAGUUGGCGGGGUAAUGGCCCACCAAGACGGUGAUCUGUAUCCGGCCUGAGAGGGCGCACGGACACACUGGAACUGAAACACGGUCCAGACUCCUACGGGAGGCAGCAGUGGGGAAUUUUGCGCAAUGGGGGAAACCCUGACGCAGCAACGCCGCGUGGAGGAUGAAGUCCCUUGGGACGUAAACUCCUUUCGAUCGGGACGAUUAUGACGGUACCGGAAGAAGAAGCCCCGGCUAACUUCGUGCCAGCAGCCGCGGUAAUACGAGGGGGGCGAGCGUUGUUCGGAAUUAUUGGGCGUAAAGGGCGCGUAGGCGGUCGGAUAAGUCUUGUGUGAAAUCUUCGGGCUCAACUCGAAGUCUGCACAGGAAACUAUCUGGCUUGAGUGUGGGAGAGGUGAGUGGAAUUCCUGGUGUAGCGGUGAAAUGCGUAGAUAUCAGGAGGAACACCUGUGGCGAAAGCGGCUCACUGGACCACAACUGACGCUGAGGCGCGAAAGCUAGGGGAGCAAACAGGAUUAGAUACCCUGGUAGUCCUAGCCCUAAACGAUGAUCGCUUGGUGUGACGGGUACCCAAUCCCGCCGUGCCGAAGCUAACGCGUUAAGCGAUCCGCCUGGGGAGUACGGUCGCAAGGCUGAAACUCAAAGGAAUUGACGGGGGCCCGCACAAGCGGUGGAGCAUGUGGUUU
rnacentral:rRNA from 1 species